rnacentral:lncRNA from 1 species
CUACAUCCUGCUCAGCACUGGGUCUUUAAGAAAGGUUGCAGAAUGACAAGGAGAUUUCAUUUAGCAUAUGGCCUGGCUGACAGUGUGGCAAAACUGAGCACUUUGGGCCAGAUCCUGUUCCACCUUUGGACAUCUACAUGGAUUUGGUCCAGAAGCCUGAGUCUCUUCCACCUUGUUGCAGCCCCUGAAUAUCCCUUAGUGCAUCUACUUGGAUAACACGUGGUCAUCUUUCGCUUCAGCCUGCAUCACAGAAAGGAAGAGCGACCUGCCUCUCCCCUGCCCCGCAGCUUUUGCAUUCACCUUUUUUCCCCCGGGAGCUUGAGCGAAGUAGAAGAGAAUGGCACUGAGGCACGGCCGGCCAGUUACGUGCCUAAUAGGUGAAACAGAAUCUGGUUUUUUUCUUCCAUUUUUUUUUUCUGUCAAAAGGGAAAUCCCAUGCAUAUUUUAGUUGCACAAAAAGGGCAAGUUUUUGUUAAGAUUUUUGAAUAAAUACUGUUGACCUUAGCA